UACAGAGGUGGCAAGCGUUGUUCGGAAUUACUGGGCGUAAAGGGCGAGUAGGUGGCCAUCUAAGUCAGACGUGAAAUCCCCCGGCUUAACCUGGGAACUGCGUCUGAUACUGGACGGCUUGAGUAUGGGAGAGGGAUGUAGAAUUCCAGGUGUAGCGGUGAAAUGCGCAGAUAUCAGGAGGAACACCGGUGGCGAAGGCGGGUCUCUGGGCCGAUACUGACGCUGAGGAGCGAAAGCAUGGGGGAGCGAACAGG
rnacentral:rRNA from 1 species